rnacentral:rRNA from 1 species
GGCUCUUUGAAUUUUUUAUAAAGAGUCGGACCUGCCCAGUGAGGAUAGUCAAAUUCUAGAUAUAAGUCUAAAAUUCUCUUAAACGGCCGCAGUUGAUAGCUGUGCUAAGGUAGCGUAAUCAUUUGCCCCUUAAUUAGGGGAGGGUAUGAAAGGUUUGACGUGAAAAAAUCUGUCUCUUUUGUAUAAAGAAAAGUUUAUUUUUGAGUGAAAAAGCUUAAAUUUUUUUAAAAGACGAGAAGACCCUGUCGAGCUUGAUAAUACUGUGGAUUAUAUUUACAGUGAUAAGUUUAGUUGGGGAAACUGAGAGUUAAAAGAAAUAUUUUUUUAUUCUGAUGAGGAUCCUGUACUACAGAAAAAAGAAAAAGUUACCGCAGGGAUAACAGCGUUUUCUUUCCUGAGAGGACUAAUUAAAGGAAAAGGUUACGACCUCGAUGUUGGAUUAAAGUUUCUUUUUGGGGCAGGAGUUAAAAUAGUAAGACUGUUCGUCUUUUAAAACUUU